GACGAACGCUGGCGGCGUGCUUAACACAUGCAAGUCGAACGGAAAGGCCCUGCUUUUGUGGGGUGCUCGAGUGGGGAACGGGUGAGUAACACGUGAGUAACCUGCCCUUGACUUUGGGAUAACUUCAGGAAACUGGGGCUAAUACCGGAUAGGAGCUCCUGCUGCAUGGUGGGGGUUGGAAAGUUUCGGCGGUUGGGGAUGGACUCGCGGCUUAUCAGCUUGUUGGUGGGGUAGUGGCUUACCAAGGCUUUGACGGGUAGCCGGCCUGGGAGGGUGACCGGCCACAUUGGGACUGAGAUACGGCCCAGACUCCUACGGGAGGCAGCAGUGGGGAAUAUUGCACAAUGGGCGGAAGCCUGAGGCAGCAACGCCGCGUGCGGGAUGACGGCCUUCGGGUUGUAAACCGCUUUCGCCUGUGACGAAGCGUGAGUGACGGUAAUGGGUAAAGAAGCACCGGCUAACUACGUG
rnacentral:rRNA from 1 species